CGAACGCUGGCGGCGUGCUUACCACAUGCAAGUCGAACGGAAAGGCCCUGCUUUUGUGGGGUGCUCGAGUGGCGAACGGGUGAGUAACACGUGAGUAACCUGCCCUUGACUUUGGGAUAACUUCAGGAAACUGGGGCUAAUACCGGAUAGGAGCUCCUGCUGCAUGGUGGGGGUUGGAAAGUUUCGGCGGUUGGGGAUGGACUCGCGGCUUAUCAGCUUGUUGGUGGGGUAGUGGCUUACCAAGGCUUUGACGGGUAGCCGGCCUGAGAGGGUGACCGGCCACAUUGGGACUGAGAUACGGCCCAGACUCCUACGGGAGGCAGCAGUGGGGAAUAUUGCACAAUGGGCGGAAGCCUGAUGCAGCAACGCCGCGUGCGGGAUGAAGGCCUUCGGGUUGUAAACCGCUUUCGCCUGUGACGAAGCGUGAGUGACGGUAAUGGGUAAAGAAGCACCGGCUAACUACGU
rnacentral:rRNA from 1 species